CCCUUUUUUCUUUAAUGACCUAGUUUUUUCUCUUCUUUAAGCACUAGAUGUUGUAUCCAAGGUGAGAAAGCAUCAUGUUACACACAAGAGGAAAGGCUCCCAAUAAUUCCAGGCACACCUUUUUAACGUGCUCAUUUGAAGUUGUUUCAUGAACUCUGUCGCUUAGAGGUCACACUGAUGCCAUUUCGGAAUAAUCUUCAGAGAAGCGCCUCUCUCUGAACAAAGCCCCCUCAGAUGGCUCUGCUUCCCACCAAGUCCUGCUUACGGUGGAAUCCAGCUAUCGCCUUGCUCUGUGGUAAGCCCACAUUGCCAUAGCAACCCAGUGUUGCUCCACACCUUCAGAACAGACUACCAUGGCUUGCAAAGCACACUGAGAUGAAUGAAGCCUGUUUAAAAGAAGGGAAGAAGAGAAGGGCAGGGUAAGACACAAGUCAGAUUAAUGGCUGGAAUACAAUCAAAAACAAAAGUUAAAAUGAAAAUGUUAAUCAUUUAAAAGAGGGCCUUGGUGGAAUUGCUUGCUUUAUGGCUUAGAAUAAAAAAUAGAAGCAGGGAAAGAAGUAGAAGUCUCUAUAAGAAUAAUUUAGUGUCUGGUGUAAUGAGCUUCCUUUUUCUUUGGUAGUUCACUGUGCUGCCUUAUCACUUACCCGGUGAUUGACUGAGUCCUCUCCUUGCUUGUUCCUGCUAAGCAGCAAUUCACCAUCUGGCAGUCAUAAUUUCUUUUUUAUCCUAUAUUCCUUUGUAAUUAGGAAAUAAGUUACGUCCCACCCUGCUUGGGAAGAAAGAAACAUGUCUGGCAUAUUAUUUACAGAUGACACUCUAAGGAGGUGGAGCCAUUUUGUUAAUGAUGGGUGGCAGUGCUUUUUUCUAGCAAAAGAGGUGCCAGAACUCACCAUGAACACCUCCCUUGUUCUCUUAGAAUGGCAAUGGUGACCACCUGAGAGGAGACAGAACCCAUCUGAGAGGUGCCAGAACUGAGUUUCUGCAAGUUCUAGCUGACAAAAGCCCUGAUUUGUGGGGAGUUUGAGCCCUGUCCUGAGAGCACAGUGACCCAUACCCUAAAGAAACAUACAUUCCUAUCUGGCUUCUAGGAAAAGUAUUUAUAUGUGAUUUUAAUUAACACCUAAGUUUGGAUUGUUACUGCUUUUUUUUAUAUAAAGGGUGCAGUGUGGUUUUAAUCUAUGCUUUUAUAUGGCAUUAUAUUUUGCUGUUAUUCUCUUACACACUGCCAUGUGAGGGUGACAUUCCAUGAAGGGCAGUUUUGAAAUAGUUUAAUAAAUUAAUUUAUUUCUGCUUAUUUAAAACAGUUAUACAGGUCACCUUUAGGAGUGAAAUUAACACAAAGGAUAUCUUCUCAAGUGGCCCCCCAAGUUACGAAUUGCUGCUACUGCUACUUACUACAAGUAUUUAACAUUUAAUAAUAAUAAAAAAUGCAUGCAGCUGAAUAAAACAUGGAAGCAGAAGAGGGCUAUAACUCAGUGGCAGAGGACAUCCUUUGCAGGCAACAGGCUUCAGUUUCAAAUUCUGGCAUCUCCAGGCAUGGCAGAAGAAGAACUCUGGAGAGCCACUGCCAGUCAGUUUAGGCAGGGCCAGCCAAAGGCAUAUUGGCAUCUGAGAGGGACCCCAGCAUGGUGACCCCUUCCCCAUGGGGUGAGGAAAGAACCACAUCAGGAACAAGGGGGAAAGAAAGUUUGACAUUGGGAUCUGCUGUCCUGGUGGAUCCUGCCACCUGAUGCCUCACCUGGCCUCAUGGGCCGGCCCUGAGUGUAGGCAACACUGUGUUAGAUGGAUCAAAGGUCUGACUCAGUCUAAUACAGCUUCUUAUAUUCCUACUAAUCAUGGUCUCUGCUCCUUGUAUGAUUGCUAUCAGAGGGUUCUUCACACAUUAUGGGAGAUAAAAGCAAUUUAUUAAACAUUACUUGUUUAUUUAUAAGAUUUCUAACCUGCCCUUCACCAUAAUGUCCCAAGGUGGAUUACAGUCAUAAAAUAGACAACUGGAAGAACUGAUAAAGGUGUUAGCAAUUAUGAAACAAGUAUAACACCAUUCUAAAUGGAACAGAACAAUAUGAAUUUUACCAAAAGAAGUGGGUCUCACAAAAUAAAAGACAUUAACUGUCAACAGGGCUGUCUUAAGCAUAUGCGGCGCCGGGGUGCAAAGAUCCACCUGGUGCCCCCCCCAGUUGCCCAAUCCCAGGUGCGCAGGAGGGCAGAGCUGGCCGGCCACCUCAGCGUCUCGCUGGCUUGGUCACCCCCGAACUCACAGCGCAGAGCCGCCCACAGCAGAGCGGCCUGCCGCGGCGCUCCAACCAGUGGGCGGGCACUUCCCUGGACACAACUCUCAGCCCCAGACUUUCGGCCUGGCGCCCCUGAGUGCCCUGCGCCUGGGUGCCCCGCACCCCUAGCACCUAUGGGUAAGACGGCCCUGACUGUCAAAGGCCAGCAUGUGGUGAAAACUGUACAAGGAAGGUGCAAGAUGCAACUAUGUGGGUGGGGGGAGUUGCACAAUUUAGCAGCUGCCACAGAGAAAGCCCUUUUCUGAGCCAUUGUUCCCCACAUUUGUGAGGGUGGCGGAAUACCAAGAGAGCCCCUCUGCAGAUCUUAACACCCAAGAAAGCCAGUAGGGAUGGAGAUGAUCUUUCAGACACGUGAAUGUGGCAGAACCAACUAGUGGACUCUUGAAGCACAUGCAGAACUCAUGUUCUAUCAUAUAUUCCUCCCCAUCUAGAAAUACCAAUGGAUGCACCUUUCUUCUGUCACCUGUUUUACUGAGAUUUGUCAGUGGCAGCACCCAUGCUAUGGGAUUCCCUUCCCAGAGACAUCUCUUUGGCUCCUUCACUUGCUAUUUCACCAAGAAUUAAAGAUACUUUUUUCAGGUGGCCUUUUCUCCUGCCUAACAACUUUUUUGUGUAUGUAUUUUGAAAUCUUGGCAGAUGGUUUUUAAUUGGUUUUAACUGCUGCAAUGUUGCUUUUUGCACACUUUGUAUUGCCCCCCCCAUUUUCAGCAUUUCUCACUUGUUCUACCAUGAGGCUUUACAGUUUUAUUCUUGUUCAAUCAUAUGUUGUCUUGAAUAUACUGUUGAAAAAAAUAUCAAUAGGUGAAAUCAGUGCACUUGCACACAUGUUUGCUUCCCUUUUAUUAUAGACGUGUAAUGUGGGGGUGGAAGAAAGGAUUUGAAAAAGGAACGGAGAUGAAUGGGUUAACUACAGCAUGGUUAACUGUGCUGACAGGUAUGGCUAAAGCAAAGUAAAAAAAAAAAGUGAGUGAAACUCAAGAAGGAAGAUUUUAAAAGAGGUAUCCUAAGGGAUAAAGAUGAGGAGGCCAUUGUAGGCAUAGAGAACAGUGGCAGAAGACAAAAAUCAAAAGUAAAAGCAGGAAGCGAGGGAGGUGGUGGCUAAUUAAUUCCUGGGCUUAUCUUGGGCCCUAAAAGAAGCCAAACUCAGAACACCAGAAGCUCUUCUCUGGAUAUGUCCUGAAUUAUAAUGCUGUGAUUUGUGGCGCAUAUGUAAUGCGACUGAGAAUCCAUUUAUUUGGGGUAUGAGCUCAAGAGACUCACAUUGAAGUUAAAUUUCAGAGGCAAUUCUCAACAAGUUAAGAACAAAACUAUAAGUGACUUAUUGGUAGAUAUGUGUAAAUAUUAGGAAUGUUGGAAAAUUACUAUGAGAACAGAAACAGGAGUGGAAAUUGCUAGUGUUCCCUUGUUCGUCCCAUCUCUGAAAUGGAAAUCAGUCCAGUGAAUACAACUGGCGUUUUGUUGCUGCUGUUGCUUCUAGUGUACAAAUGAUACACAACUAAUUAUGUUUGCCUCCAUUUGCCUUGCAUUGGCCUUGCAUGGAAAUGAAUGGGGUGGAAUCACAUAAUGACCUAAGGUAUGACAUCGGUGUAAAUUAUGAAAUAGAUUACGUAAAUUACAUUAUUUUGUCACGGCGGAAAGCGAGAUGAAUAACAUAGCUUCUGAAGUAAGGCCCCUAGUAAAUGCAAAAGUCUUAACUGUUAAAAGCAUACUGUGCGUUAGCCUUACAUAAAGGAAUAGCAACAAGGUCAGGAUAUCUGCCUGGAGAUAUUCAGACUAUUUUAGAAUCAGAAGUGGUCCAAGGUGAAGCAGGCUAGCUCCAAGGCUUUGAAGCUGCUUUAGCACUUGGGAGGACGUUGGUACCUGUUCCCCCCAAUCACCACCCCCAGAAUCCCCCCAAUUCUCUAUAAAUAGAAAUUUCCAGGCAGAGAGGAAAGGGGAAUCCUGAAGAGGAGUAUGGUUCUUUGAUGGACAGCUCUGACGGACAGAAUUACUUCAUUAAGACGGCCCUUUUGUUUCAAAUCACAGUGCUUUGGGGAGGAUGUAGAAAGACUUUGACUUCAGUACAGACUGAGCAGAAAACAAAGUAAGUUGUUUUUAAAAGCUUCAAUUACACUUUUUAAAAUUCAUCACUCCCUAAACCCUGCGUCUAUCCUCCUGAAAUUUUGCACAGAACCUACCUAAGGGCACCUCUGUAUUGUAUGUCCCUACUCAUGCAAAUUCUGAGAGCUCCCAUGCAUGCAGAGUUACAAUUCCCACAGUUCCUUGAGUAGAGCAAUUGAUAGUUAAAAUACUUUGAGAAGUGGAGCUGUGUGAGGGGAAUUGGAGCCUCCUAAUAACUCUCAGCACCCUUAACAAACUACAGUUCCAAUGAUUCUUUUGUCAUGCAUGACUGUUAGAAGUAGAAUAGCGCUUUGAAGGUUUGGUGUAGUUGUAGCCUAAGAGUGCGGAAUAAAAAGGAGGAAAUUUGUGACCCACCACAUUGGGAUGUGAGUUUGGUGGGAACAGAGGACAGGCCUUUGACUGUAGGAGUCCAGCCCUCCAUCGCUGCCUACUUUUAGAACGGCAGUAAAAAUGUUUGGCUCUGCAUAGCUUUCAAUAGUUUCAACGAUGCUUUGAUUUUGCUCCUCCUGGUUCUAAGAUAUUUUCCGGUCUGUCCUUCAUCUGGCUUAUUGUUUAAAAAUGGCUUUCUUCUUCAAGUAUUUCAACUAUUUAUGUUCAACUUUUCAUUGGGGGAAAAACCCACCCAAGUAGUUUACAAGCAAAUCAAAAGUAAACACUGUGUAGAAAACAAUAAAACUGAUAGUGCAUCAAAAUCCAUACGAUGGGAUUCUAUUCUUCAAUACCUGCAGAAGUUCAACACCUACUAAGGCACCCAUCCCUCAAUCAGGCUACACCUGCGCACAUUCCUCCACUUAAACCCACCCACACCCAUAAACACAAUUUCUCUCACUCUUAACGGUUGCCUUUAACGUCUUCACUUUUACGCAUUGCAUUUGGGGGCUUUGUUAAGACCAAAAGAUGGUUUAUAAAUAUUUUUUUAUAAACGAAUAAAUUCAUUUAAAAAACUAAAGCAAGGAUGACAAGAAAUGUAAUACAUUUAAGAACACACACACACCCGUUUUAUGCUACCUUCUCUCAGAGAACAAAGCAACUCCCUAGAAAUUCAUGGCUUUUGUGACAGAAACUGUAAGUAGGUGGCAGGGGAGGGGGAAAAAAGAAUUCUAAAGAGGGAAAUAGCUUUGUCUUGUCUCUUCAGUUACUGCAGAAAGAAACAUUUCAGAGUCGGAUCUCCGUUACACGUAGCUCACAGAACCAAAAUUCCUGGAUAGCUGAAAUUUCCUACGUGACCUCUACAUACUGCCAUGAUCAAUGUUAGCCUAUCUCGGCAUCUGAUUAUCCAAAUGUUUUGGCUCUCCCUAGGGCCGUUUAGUUAAAUGAGGCAGCACAGUAUUUAAAAAUGUACAACAGUGGAAGGAAACUGGUUAAAAAAAGCUAAUAAACACCCACUCAACCAUCCCACAUCAUCAUCUUCUGCUACACUUCACCUCCAGUCAUAACAGUGUGUUUUACGCUUACGCCUACAGCUCCCAGUUGGGGACACCAGCUGUAGCUUGCUUGCGCUCCUCUAAGCCACAAAGCAGAGAGGCCCCGGCACAGCCGCGCAGAGCGCAUUCUCCAUAGCCCCGAGAACUACGACUGCCAAUCUGUGCGGCAUGCUGACAGAACGGGGUUCGUGCGCCGUGAAGAAUAAAUGAAAUAAUUACAAGGCACCCACAGCACGGGAGGAUUCCCAACUGUUAAGUCACUGUACAAACGAGCUGUUUGGGGCUCACUUCUUUCCAGCAAGCCUUCAGUGUGUGGGGCAGGGAUUAUGUUCUUGUUGAAAUCUCUGCAGUACAGUAGUGACCCCAUAAGGUGUGUGGUGUACGGAGGCUCUAGACCACCUGCCAAAUCUGCAAGACCAUCAUAUACAGUAAUUUUGUCAUGCAUUCUCUUUUCUCUGACAGAUAUGCGCCAUGUCUGAAUUUCCCAGAGACAUGCACUGACAUAGUGUUAUCGGUUUUGCAUGUCCUAUGCAUCCUGACUUCCUGCUAUGUUCUGGAGUGCUUCUGGCUGCUUUGCCAUGAAGAGUCCUCAUCGCCAGUUGUAGACUUUUCUGUGCUAGCUACUGUUUGUUCUCUCUCUCCCUCCCUCCCUCAGCACUUCAGUUGUUUAUGUUUAAGAGCAGAGUGGUAAUGUAAAGGCUCUCCUACUGCUGGUGUGCACUUUUGGUUUAUUACAGUUUCUCGAAUGAUUGCUCUCCAAAGUGGAACUUUGUGGAUGUUUCCAGAAACACGGGCUUACCAUAUAUAAAUGUCACUGUUAGCAGAGCGGACCGAGGUGACAGAUGGAAUUGCUUUGCUUUGUGUGCGCUCCCUCUCGUCCACAUCUGUUUGGGAUAUUCUCUGGAUGUAAGAUUUAAGUGGUAAGCUUACAUAUGGAACUACAUCAUAUGGCAUUAUUACUAGCUUUUUUAAAAUUUUUAAUCUUGCUGCAUUAUGGCAGGUAAUGUAAAAAAGCAUGUGUGAGAGCAGGGCCACAAAGCAUAAAACGAAAGCAGAGACUGAAAGGCAAAUGGCUGAACUGGGAGAGCCCCACAAAAUGUAUUUUGCACAAGGCCCUACAAUGAAGAAUGGCUGCCAUUGCUGCAUCGGGUGUUAAUGGAUCAUUCAGGCACUUCUGUUGUAAGCCACAUCUGAACCAGAAAUUUAAAGCAUUAUUAUACCACUUCAACAGUCAUGGCUCCCUCCAAUGAAUCUUGGGAACUGUAGUUUGGGAAGAGUGUUGAGAUUUGUUAGGAGGCCCCUAUUCUCCUCACAAAGCUGCAAAGCUGGAUUUCCUGUGAAAAGAGAGUUACUAUUGAACCACUGUGAGAGCUAUAUAGUGCGGAUGUGGCCUUAGAAAGGAAGAGAAAGUAUUUUCUCUCAGAAGAGGCUGCGUGUUGUCUGGGGCCUUACUCUGAAGCACCUUAAACUUAGGUGAUGGAGUGACGGUUGAAGCUGGUUGGAGCAGUGAGGAACAGCAGCGUGCACACAGAACUUGCACACAACGCCACCCGAGAAAGCACACACACAGACAUAGAGGUUGAGUUCUUGCAUAAUUGUCAUACUGUGUCACAUAGGUGCCAACUCCCUGAGUAAGCACCCACAAAAUUCCCCAUGAAGAGGCUGGGUACCCACAAAUUUCAGUGCCAGAGACAUGGCCCCAGGCACCCAUGGUUGCGGGGACAAGUUGGCACUCCUGCUGUGUCAUUUUGUAAUGGGUGGAGGUAAAUACUUCCAUAGCUACUGUUUGGCCUAGAAGGGGAACUGCUAGUUAUAGCCCUCCACAACUUCCCUCCUGAGGAAAUAGCAGUUUUAGGGAGGGGAGGGGUGUUGGAAAAACAGUUUGAAGAGAAAAGUCAAUCCCACUUCCUUCACUGUAGUCUCAAACUGGAUAGGGAGCUCCUGGAAUCCCCCCCCCCCAAAAAAAAAUUAAAUGAAUCCAAAUGUGAUCAUGCAUUUCACAUGUUGCCCUUAAAGUAAAUCAUCUCAGAUGUAGAAGUGAAGUGUGCCUCUGGGAAAGAAGUGUGCUUCACCCAACACUCUCUCUGAACAAGGAAGACAGAAAGCUGUUAGCUAGAGUAACCAGAAUGCCACUCUUUAACGUGGACAAAUGCUCUUUUGCCUUUAAUGGCUCACUGGCCCAGGAGUAUAGCCUUUUCUGUCCAUUGAUAAGUACAACCAGUGUGAUGUCCAACCUGGACUGGCAGGAGAGAGAAGCCAUGCCAUGAAGCUCUGUAAGCAACCUUGGAGGAGAAACCACUUCAUUUCCUAGCAGAGCAUUCCCAAGUAAAGGAAGCUGGUCAAGUUUACACCAGUUUAAGUUGCAGUGAUGUAAAUUACCCUAUUCCAAACUCCAUUUGGGAGCAGUGUACUGCUUGCUGAGCCCACCUGAGCCUUGCAGAAGGAAAGCAAGGCUCUGAAACAGAAUUUGACUUACACCACCCUUUUUUACUAGUGUAAAUUCCCCUCAGUUACCAGGUCAUGUGCCUGAACUGAAAUUGGUUUGGAAUAGGUGUAAGUCUCCCACCUCCUGCAUGCCCAGCUUUUGGACUUAAGUGAAAGUUCUUCUGGGUGAGCCAGCAUAACCCGGUUGAGAUAGCUACACUGGUCUAGCCCCAUCUGAACCAAGACAGCCCAAGAUCUGCCUAUUCCAAGCUCUCACCCCAGUGAUUCUUUGGUUUGAACCGUGCUGUAACCUACUUAAAAACAACAACCAAAAAACAACAACAACAAACUGUUAAGAUAACAGCAUAAUUUCCAUAUGUACCACCCAAGAACCUUGGAUACAAAUAUGAUAGAUAAAUAAAACAUACACCUCCUGUAUUUAUUCCAUCAAAUAACUAGUAGAAGAGAGUCUUUCCCACUUGGAACAAUACAAAAAAAAUGCCCAUGUGCAAAAAUUGUGCAUUUUCUUUUUCCUGCUUUUGCAUCCUGUUUCCAGAUUAAUCUUAUGCAGAGUUAAUUGAAAUUAGCGGGCGUAGGUGCACCUAAUUCUCCAUAGGAUGGCAGCCUUAAUAGGGUAUUUAUGAGCAUCAGUUCAUCUGCACUUUCUGAAAGAGCAAAUGAAAGAGUUAUUUCUACAUAUAAAUGUGUGCAUAUCAUAUUUUUAAUCUAUGAAAGGACAAGUAGCAUAUCAUAGGAAGCAGGGCAUCUGCUUGAUACAGUGACCAAAUAUGAAUAUGCAGAGACAUAGAGGGAAUUUAUUACAGAGUUAAAAUGAGAAAGUGUCAAAAUAAAGAAAGGAAAGAAAUCAAUAUUUUGAAUCUGAGAACAUUUGAGUUCUGACUGGUUUUGUUUUGGCGGGGGGGUGUUUUAACCAUUGUGUGUAACACACGCACACAUACCAUAGCUGUCAACUUUUCCCUUUUCUUGUGAGGAAUCCUAUUCAGAAUAAGGGAAUUUCCCUUAAAAAAAGGGAAAAGUUGACAGCUAUGGUAUGUGUGUGUCAACUUUUGAAAAAUCAAAGGCGUAAAUUUUGAAUUCUGCAAUCCAAUAUGCUAAUCUGACAUGCUCUUCCUUGCCUCUUUGUACUCUGACAGGUAGCAGCCUAUAGGACACCAGCCAUUUACCAGCAACCGAAGCAAUGAGUAACGGAUUCAUAGGACCGAUCAAAUCAUAAUAAUCCCACCACAGUUAAGAAUCUAAGCACCCUGCCAGAUGAGACCUAAGGGCUAUCUAGUCCAGCAUCCUAUUUUCCAUAGUGGCCUCUGAAAGAGCCAAGCAAGAUAGGAAGGCAAUAGCCCUUCUGCUGCUCUCAUUUCCCAACAGAUGGCAUUGAGAGGUAUGUGGCCCCUGAUCCUGGCCAUUGAGGGGUAUAUCCUGGGGAGAGGUGGUGUGAUUGGCAUAUAGCCUGGGGAGAGUCUCAAAGGCCAGUCAAGGAGACCUGGAGGCCAAUGGAGCCCUCCAGGUCUCUGAGGUUCCUCACCUCUGAACGAUAUGGUGUAUGAAGAAGUACUUCCUUCUCUCUGUCCUGAACCUCCCACCAAUCAUCUUUAUUGGAUGAGCUCAGCUCCCAGUACUAUGAGAGAGGAAGAAAAACCUCUCUGGAGGAAAUGAAAUUGGUGCAUUCACACCAUUAAGGGGUAUUUUCAAGCUCAUGUCCAGUUGUAGACUGCAAAGUGUUACUGGAAUUAGAUUUGCAUGAUUUGGUAUAUUUAUAUUUUUAAAUUAGUAUUAUAUUACUUCAUAGAAACAGUAUAUUGAACCAUUUAGAUAUACACAAUCAUAUAUAUAUAUAUAUAUAUAUAUAUAUAUAUAUAUAUAUAAAAUAAUUGAUAAUAAUUUAUUAUUUAUACCUCACCCAUCUGGCUGGGUUUCCCAUAUAAAUGCCUGUCCCAUAUCUGUUUCUACAGGCCCAGCAGGUGCUAUAACUCCCUAAUGGUGAAAAACUCUGGAAACUCUGUGACACCCCUAGUUGUUUUAUUUCAAACGUUUAUGAGCAGAUUUGUCAAUAAAAAUAAUAUACCAAGUGACAUACCCAAAAUAACAAAUAAAGGUAGCAGGAACAAGAAAUAAUUACCACCUCGUAAAAUCUCAUAAAAUUUAAGAGCAGAAGUAAAACACAUUUUAAAAUAAUAAAAUACAAUUAAAUAGCGCUAAGACAAUAAAAUUAAAGAACUAUUAAGAGCCAUUUAAGGCACCAGUGAGCAAAUCCGUUUUAUGAAAGUCUGUGGAAUGCUGAAUGAGUUGGUGUCUCCCAGGACACUCUUCAAAGAGUGACAAGGUCUUCUCUUUGGUCACCACCUGCCUGGUUUCACCCGGCAAAGGAAACUUGAAGGAUCUCUGGUGCAGAUCUUAAACUCCAAGCAAGUUCAUACAGGAGAAUGCUGUGUUCCAAGGUCUGCAAAUCUUAGCAGGAUCUGGACUCACACUACACUUAGUAGAGCUAUAGGUUUAUUUCAGAGUUUCUUCCUUGCAUAGGAGUGCUUUUUAAGUUUUUCUGUACAGUCAUAUUUAUACAGUUAUACAUUUAUACACUUUCUCCCAAAACUUAGUGAGAAUUGGACACUGUAAGAAUGUAUCUUUCAAAGAGGCAUUAUCCUUAUUACUUCUCCAAGAAUGAGCUGCGUUAGACAGUCCUUCUCUAUACAAAUUCAACGGAGUUGUCCAAUAGAUUCCAAAUAUUAUUUUCUGUUGUGUAAGUCUUAGUUUGAGAUCCACCGAUACUUUGCUACAGAAGCUAAGAGACUGUUCCACUGUCUAGGUAGUAGAGAACAUCCAAUUCUUUAUUCCAAUCGUUUCUUAAAGUCUGUAUAUCAAACUUACUAAUUAAUAACAAAUAGGAAAUGAUUGCUUUUUUUUUUCUUUCAAAAGACUUGACCAAUUGUUCUAAUAUCUCCUGUGUCUCAGAAGCUGAGAAUGUAGGAAAAGCAUGGAAGCCAAAUUUGAUUAAUAGAAUACCUGGCCUCUAGUGGGCGGGGCUUUUAUGCUGUACUCUAGAAUUGGCCCCUCCCUUCAGGUUGUCAGUUAAAAAAGGAUAACUGUCACUUACCUUAAGAUGUUUCAUUUCUCUUAGUAUGUUACUAUGUUACAUUUUUCUACUAUUAAAGCUUUGUGUGUGUGUGUGUUUACUUCGCAGGAUGAAAAGACAAACUCUGCGAAAGAAGAAGGUGGAAUAUCUUACACUGGAUCAGUGAGGAGAUAUUUCCCUGACAGGAGGACUGGUUUUUAGUCACCUCCCCACCCACAAGAGAGAAAGCUGCUGGUCCAAACACUGUUGUUACAAGAUGUUGUAGCUGCAGUUAUUGCCAUUGGGAUGCAUCUGAUCAUGAUAUUUAUUUCUUAAAACACUGUACAUAUAAAAUUCAUCUUCCUCAUCCAUCAGUUGAUCCAAAGUCAAUAUGCCCGCUUCCACCUAAUUUAUCCAUAUUACCAGGGACUUCCGGGUUGGCGUCUCUGGCAAUGGCGGAUUUCCUCCGAUCGGGAGGAAUCCGCUCCGUGGAAAACAGGGUCUGAACCGCCACGGAGAGGCGGAGACCCAUCAAAAACCACAGGUGGGAGAAGCCUGUGGACGUGGGAUUCGGCUGGCACCUUUGCGCCUCCCCUACUCGCGGGGAAACCCGGUUUCGGGGAUCCGGAGCGACAUGGGGUGAGUGGCGUGGUGCUUUGAAUCGACUGCUUCUUUCACGGAGUGAAGCCGCAUUGCUGUUGCUGGAGAGCGCUGACUUUUCCUUCUGGACAAUUGGAUUUUUAACAACUGCCCGUGAGUAGAACAGAAAAUUGGAUUAAGAAAUUUUUUAAUUUGGCAUUGAAGUGGGAAGGUCUAAACAGGAAGUCCGCCUUCCACUUUUGUAGAUAGAUUGAAGCAAAGAUGCGGCAAGCUAGAGUUUAGAAAGUUGUCUGUAAAGGACCAAAAUUCCAUCAUUUAAAAUUACUGAACCCCCCUUGGAAGCAGGAGAAGAGGGGGGAACCUUUUUUUAGACUGUUUAAACCUGCAGAAGAGAGAGUAAAGAAAGGCAGUUUUCCACCGUCUUGAACCUGGGAGCGGGGUGUCAGGACAGACGUUCUG